rnacentral:rRNA from 1 species
GACGAACGCUGGCGGCGUGCUUAACACAUGCAAGUCGAACGGAAAGGCCCUGCUUUUGUGGGGUGCUCGAGUGGCGAACGGGUGAGUAACACGUGAGUAACCUGCCCUUGACUUUGGGAUAACUUCAGGAAACUGGGGCUAAUACCGGAUAGGAGCUCCUGCUGCAUGGUGGGGGUUGGAAAGUUUCGGCGGUUGGGGAUGGACUCGCGGCUUAUCAGCUUGUUGGUGGGGUAGUGGCUUACCAAGGCUUUGACGGGUAGCCGGCCUGAGAGGGUGACCGGCCACAUUGGGACUGAGAUACGGCCCAGCCUCCUACGGGAGGCAGCAGUGGGGAAUAUUGCACAAUGGGCGGAAGCCUGAUGCAGCAACGCCGCGUGCGGGAUGACGGCCUUCGGGUUGUAAACCGCUUUCGCCUGUGACGAAGCGGGAGUGACGGUAAUGGGUAAAGAAGCACCGGCUAACUACGUG